rnacentral:rRNA from 1 species
AUUGAACGCUGGCGGCAGGCCUAACACAUGCAAGUCGAGCGGAAACGAGUUAUCUGAACCUUCGGGGGACGAUAACGGCGUCGAGCGGCGGACGGGUGAGUAAUGGCUGGGAACCUGCCCUAACGAGGGGGAUAACAGUUGGAAACGACUGCUAAUACCGCAUAAUGUCUACGGACCAAAGAGGGGGCUCUUAGGACCUCUCGCGUUAGGAUGGGCCCAGUUGGGAUUAGCUAGUUGGUGAGGUAAUGGCUCACCAAGGCGACGAUCCCUAGCUGGUUUGAGAGGAUGAUCAGCCACACUGGAACUGAGACACGGUCCAGACUCCUACGGGGAGGCAGCAGUGGGGAAUAUUGCACAAUGGGCGCAAGCCUGAUGCAGCCAUGCCGCGUGUGUGAAGAAGGCCUUCGGGUUGUAAAGCACUUUCAGCGAGGAGGAAAGGUUAAGUCUUAAUACGGCUUAGCUGUGACGUUACUCGCAGAAGAAGCACCGGCUAACUUCGU